AUACCAUGAUAGGGACACUUUCUCAAUAAUUUCUUAAGCCUUUCCCAUGCAUCAUAUAAAGAUUCACCUUUCGUUUGACAUAAAUUAUUGAUCUCGUCUCUCAACCU